UUCAGUCCCAACUCGGCUCCAUACUGGCUCUGUGACUCGGGUUUAUCCAACAAAUCAUUCUUGAGUCCCUGUUCUCACUGUGUGAGACAAGAGGUCUCACUAUGUAGUGCUGGAUGAUCUUGAA